rnacentral:rRNA from 1 species
AUGUUCUACGGUCUUUCACUCAAACAAAUAAAAUCUCAAAGCAGAAAUCAAUGGCCAAAAAACUCCAUUGAACCAAAAAUAAAUUUACAUGCUACUUACAUAGAGCUAAAGUGUACAAAUAAACCGCACAUAUCUUCUCCUGCUUAUAUACAAAUUAAAAUCGAACAUACCUUCUGUCCUCGCCGCUGUUCCUGCGGCACAGCAGAAGCAGCCGGCGACGCCUCCCCUCAAUUGCUCGCACCGCUGUCCGGAGCACGCGCCAACCUCUGCAUGCACUUCCGGCCGAACACUAGUGGUUAUGCACGCAGUGCUUUGGCGGAAAAGUCAGGAGCCAUGGAGCCACGUUUGAAAUCUGCUCCUGCGUGA